GACGAGCCGUGCGAACGUUAUUCGGAUUCACUGGGCUUAAAGCGCGUGUAGGCGGAUGACCACGUCGGUCGCUGAAAGCCCCCGGCUCAACCGGGGAACGGGCGACGAUACGGGUCCUCUGGAGGGAGGUAGGGGGAGCCGGAACUUCCGGUGGAGCGGUGAAAUGCGGUGAGAUCGGAAGGAACGCCCGUGGCGAAAGCGGGCUCCUAGACCUCUCCUGACGCUGAGACGCGAAAGCUAGGGGAGCAAACGGG
rnacentral:rRNA from 1 species